rnacentral:tRNA from 1 species
GGGAAUGUAGCUCAGUGGUAGAGCACUUGCCUAGCAUGUGUGAGGCCCUGGGUUUGAUCCCCAGUACCA